GGGAUUCCUUAUCUGUGUUUAAUACGUUUAAUUAUCUGGAGCCUGUCUUUCUGCACUCUGUGCUAAAAGCACAAAAAGACAGGCUCAUCAUUAUAACCCUCUCUCUGACGUGAC
rnacentral:sRNA from 1 species